GGGAAUGUUGCUCAGGGGUAGAGCACUUGCCUCAUAGGCAUAAGGCCCUGGGUUCCAUUCCCA
rnacentral:tRNA from 1 species